GUGAACGCUGGCGGUAGGCCUAACACAUGCAAGUCAAACGGCAGCACAGUAAGAGCUUGCUCUUACGGGUGGCGAGUGGCGGACGGGUGAGGAAUACAUCGGAAUCUACUUUUUCGUGGGGGAUAACGUAGGGAAACUUACGCUAAUACCGCAUACGACCUACGGGUGAAAGCAGGGGAUCUUCGGACCUUGCGCGAUUGAAUGAGCCGAUGUCGGAUUAGCUAGUUGGCGGGGUAAAGGCCCACCAAGGCGACGAUCCGUAGCUGGUCUGAGAGGAUGAUCAGCCACACUGGAACUGAGACACGGUCCAGACUCCUACGGGAGGCAGCAGUGGGGAAUAUUGGACAAUGGGCGCAAGCCUGAUCCAGCCAUACCGCGUGGGUGAAGAAGGCCUUCGGGUUGUAAAGCCCUUUUGUUGGGAAAGAAAAGCAGCAGGUUAAUACCCCGCUGUUCUGACGGUACCCAAAGAAUAAGCACCGGCUAACUUCGUG
rnacentral:rRNA from 1 species